UAGAGUUUGAUCAUGGCUCAGAUUGAACGCUGGCGGCAUGCCUUACACAUGCAAGUCGAACGGCAGCACGGACUUCGGUCUGGUGGCGAGUGGCGAACGGGUGAGUAAUGUAUCGGAACGUACCUUUCAGUGGGGGAUAACGUAGCGAAAGUUACGCUAAUACCGCAUAUUCUGUGAGCAGGAAAGCAGGGGAUCGCAAGACCUUGCGCUGAUUGAGCGGCCGAUAUCAGAUUAGCUAGUUGGUGAGGUAAAGGCUCACCAAGGCGACGAUCUGUAGCGGGUCUGAGAGGAUGAUCCGCCACACUGGAACUGAGACACGGUCCAGACUCCUACGGGAGGCAGCAGUGGGGAAUUUUGGACAAUGGGGGCAAUCCUGAUCCAGCCAUGCCGCGUGAGUGAAGAAGGCCUUCGGGUUGUAAAGCUCUUUCGGCCGGGAAGAAAUCGCAUGGGUUAAUACCCUGUGUGGAUGACGGUACCGGAAUAAGAAGCACCGGCUAACUACGUGCCAGCAGCCGCGGUAAUACGUAGGGUGCGAGCGUUAAUCGGAAUUACUGGGCGUAAAGCGUGCGCAGGCGGUUUAGUAAGAUAGGCGUGAAAUCCCCGGGCUCAACCUGGGAACUGCGCUUAUGACUGCAAGGCUAGAGUGUGGCAGA
rnacentral:rRNA from 1 species